rnacentral:sRNA from 4 species
AUAUCUCUCUGUACGGGAAGGAUGAGAAGCUUCUACCAGGGUUCGAUUCGAGCGCAGCGAGAAAGCGUUGCCGCAGGCAACGACCCGAAGGGCGAAGCGCGCAGCGCUGAGUCAUCCUUCCC